rnacentral:rRNA from 1 species
UCUGGUGCCAGCAGCCGCGGUAAUUCCAGCUCCAAUAGCGUAUAUUAAAGUUGCUGCGGUUAAAAAGCUCGUAGUUGGACUUGUGUCCCACGCCGUCGGUUCGUCGCCCGUCGGCGUUACCGUUCGGUUAUAUCAGUGGGACGUCCAGUCGGUGGGGUGCUGACUUCGCGCGUCGCUCUCGGGUGACAAGCUUAGUAUCGGCCUCAUUCUACCCGUCUCGGUGCUCUUAACCGAGUGUCUUGACGGGCCGUCUCGUUUACUUUGAACAAAUUAGAGUGCUCAAAGCAGGCUACGAUGCUUGAAUAUUGUGUGCAUGGAAUAAUAAAACAGGACCUCGGUUCUAUUUUGUUGGUUUUCUGAAUCGGAGGUAAUGAUUAAUAGAAACGGACGGAGGCGCUCGUAUUGCUACGUUAGAGGUGAAAUUCUUGGAUUGUCGCAAGACGAACGAGUGCGAAAGCAUUCGCCGAGAACACUUUCAUUAAUCAAGAACGAAAGUUAGAGGUUCGAAGGCGAUCAGAUACCGCCCUAGUUCUAACCAUAAACGAUGCCAACUAGCGAUCCGCCGAUGUUCCUCCGAUGACUCGACGGGCAGCUUCCGGGAAACCAAAGUGUUUGGGUUCCGGGGGAAGUAUGGUUGCAAAGCUGAAACUUAAAGGAAUUGACGGAAGGGCACCACCAGGAGUGGAGCCUGCGGCUUAAUUUGACUCAACACGGGAAACCUCACCAGGCCCGGACACUGGAAGGAUUGACAGAUUGAUAGCUCUUUCUUGAUUCAGUGGGUGGUGGUGCAUGGCCGUUCUUAGUUGGUGGAGCGAUUUGUCUGGUUAAUUCCGAUAACGAACGAGACUCUGGCCUACUAACUAGUCGCGAAACGACAUCCGCAUUCGUGCUGUCGGCGACAAUAUGAACUCUUCUUAGAGGGACAAGCGGCUUCUAGCCGCACGAGAUUGAGCAAUAACAGGUCUGUGAUGCCCUUAGAUGUUCUGGGCAGCACGCGCGCUACACUGAAGGAAUCAACGUGUGCAAAUCCUUGUCCGAGAGGACCGGGUAACCCGCUGAACCUCCUUCGUGCUAGGGAUUGGGGCUUGCAAUUAUUUCCCAUGAACGAGGAAUUCCCAGUAAGCGCGGGUCAUUAGCUCGCAUUGAUUACGUCCCUGCCCUUUGUACACACCGCCCGUCGCUACUACCGAUUGAAUGAUUUAGUGAGGUCUUCAGACCGUCGCGCGGCUGCAACGAAAGUGUUUGUCGAUGUCGAUGGGAAGAUGAUCAAACUUGAUUAUUUAGAGGAAGUAAAAGUCGUAACAAGGUUUCCCC